rnacentral:rRNA from 1 species
CCGGGAUGUUCAUAACCCUUUGUUGUCCGACUCUGUUGCCUCCGGGGCGACCCUGCCUUCGGGCGGGGGCUCCGGGUGGACACUUCAAACUCUUGCGUAACUUUGCAGUCUGAGUAAACUUAAUUAAUAAAUUAAAACUUUUAACAACGGAUCUCUUGGUUCUGGCAUCGAUGAAGAACGCAGCGAAAUGCGAUAAGUAAUGUGAAUUGCAGAAUUCAGUGAAUCAUCGAAUCUUUGAACGCACAUUGCGCCCCCUGGUAUUCCGGGGGGCAUGCCUGUUCGAGCGUCAUUUCACCACUCAAGCCUCGCUUGGUAUUGGGCAACGCGGUCCGCCGCGUGCCUCAAAUCGACCGGCUGGGUCUUCUGUCCCCUAAGCGUUGUGGAAACUAUUCGCUAAAGGGUGUUCGGGAGGCUACGCCGUAAAACAACCCCAUUUCUAAGGUUGACCUCGGAUCAGGUAGGGAUACCCGCUGAACUUAAGCAUAUCAAUAAGCGGAGGA